GGAAUUCCGCUAGUUCUGAACUAUUCGUGAUUGGCAAAAGUUCACUACUAGCAGAACUCGG
rnacentral:pre_miRNA from 1 species